AAAAAAAGAUGGCAUGAGAAAUUUUGUUUCCACUCAUUGAAGUAGUUUAUCACCUUAUGUCUAGUCUAGAAGGUCUGUGGUCAAAACUUCAAGGACAGGAUAAUAGUCCAACCUGGGCUUGAGCCUAGGGUUAGGAUACCUACAAUGAAUCCUGGCGGAUGUGGAUUUACAUGUUAGUACCUGAAAGCAGAUGCAGCCCCCAUCCUGGAAUGAAUAUAUGCUUCCAAGGGACUUGUUUCCAGAGCGUGGCGGGAGGAACAACAGAGACAGCUCUGUGCCCACACGCUCAGCCAUCUGCUGUUCCAACCACACUCCUUCCCCCUCCCCCCCCCCCCCACUUCCUGCACAUGAUUCAUCUUUGCUUUUCUGCCUUCUUCAAAGAUAACUGUGUAGGCACUGAAGGAGGGGAAAGUCAUUAAGAAAAGUGGAAUCUGGAGUUAUGAGGAUGAGGUAGGGCAGAUUAAACAGUCUGGAAUUUCACAAAGCAAACAGUGUGGGGUGCAGACAGGAUUCUUGUCUCGCUUCGCGGGCGCAUCAUUUCAACAGGUCGCAUCCCUUUCGAACAGGUCCCACAAGACGGGUACACAAGUUGCUAAAGAACCAAAGAGGAAUAAACAACGGAAGUCGAGAGAGGGAUUCUGGGUAGUCCAACUAGAACUGCCAUACACUUCUAUCGCCACCCUGACAGCAUCUGGCUGACAGCCGCUGGUUGCUCUUAUAGCAGGCUAUGGGAUCUUUAUGGCCUUUUCCAGACAGCAGU
rnacentral:lncRNA from 1 species